rnacentral:rRNA from 1 species
UCUACGGGUGGCUGCAGUAGGGAAUAUUGCUCAAUGGGGGAAACCCUGAAGCAGCAACGCCGCGUGGAGGAUGAAGGUUUUCGGAUUGUAAACUUCUUUUGUUAGAGAAGAUAAUGACGGUAUCUAAGGAAUAAGCACCGGCUACCUCCGGGCCAGCUGCAGCGGUAAUACGGAGGGUGCAAGCGUUAUUCGCAAGCACUGGGCGUAAAGAGCGCGUAGGCCGGAUAGCAAGUCAGCUGUGAAAUCCUAUUGCGUAACCAUAGAACUGCAUUUGAAACUGUUAUUCUAGAGUAUGGGAGAGGUAGGUGGAAUUCUUGGUGUAGGGGUAAAAUCCGUAGAGAUCAAGAGGAAUACUCAUUGCGAAGGCGACCUGCUAGAACAUAACUGACGCUGAUGCGCGAAAGCGUGGGGAGCAAACAGGAUUAGAUACCCGAGUAGUC